rnacentral:rRNA from 1 species
CGGAGGGUGCAAGCGUUAUCCGGAUUCACUGGGUUUAAAGGGUGUGUAGGCGGGCUAUUAAGUCAGUGGUGAAAUCUCAGGGCUCAACCCUGAAACUGCCAUUGAUACUAUUAGUCUUGAAUAUCGUUGAGGUUGGCGGAAUAUAUCAUGUAGCGGUGAAAUGCAUAGAUAUGAUAUAGAACACCGAUUGCGAAGGCAGCUAACUAAGCGAUGAUUGACGCUGAGGCACGAAAGCGUGGGGAUCAAACAGGAUUAGAUACCCUGGUAGUCCACGCCCUAAACUAUGAUUACUCGACAUACGCGAUACACAGUGUGUGUCUGAGCGAAAGCAUUAAGUAAUCCACCUGGGAAGUACGUCCGCAAGGAUG